CAGCAGCCACGGUAAUACGAAGGGGGCCAGCGUUGUUCGGAUUUACUGGGCGUAAAGGGCGCGUAGGCGGACUGAUAAGUCAGGGGUGAAAUCCCAAGGCUCAACCUUGGAACUGCCUUUGAUACUGUUUGUCUUGAGUUCGAGAGAGGUAAGUGGAACUGCGAGUGUAGAGGUGAAAUUCGUAGAUAUUCGCAAGAACACCAGUGGCGAAGGUGGCUUACUGGCUCGAAACUGACGCUGAGGCGCGAAAGCGUGGGGAGCAAACAGGAUUAGAUACCCCCGUAGUCCCUGUCUCUUAUAC
rnacentral:rRNA from 1 species